rnacentral:lncRNA from 1 species
AUAGGAAGAGUUUGAGCAAAAAACUACAUCAGAGAAGGUGACAAUAAGAUCGAGUUCUCUGCCAUAUCGUGCACUGAGGUGCACGUCUUGCAAGCCUCAGUGGCUUGCAAUGUGUUACUUGUUAUACACAAAUACAAGGAGGAGGAAGCCAUGAGCUAGCAAUAUGAGGAUGCUUCUUAGAAGUUUCCCAUUAAACACAGAUAUGUUCUACCCCUUUGUAACCUGUAUAUUGAAUCAUUUCAGGCAAGAAACUUCUUUAACUGCUUUGAUAAAGAUUGCAGGCUUCUUCCUCUUCCUUUUCCCCUCCCCCCCACCAUGAGUUUCUCCUGCUUCCUCAACUGCCCCCCAGCAGGGACUCUUCCACCAGUGGGGCUGAGAAGGUGCAUGACACUGGUGUCAGGUGGACCAUGAGGUGCUUUUUACCAGGUUGCUGCAUGAUGACAGGUGACUCAGUGCCUCAAGGCUUGCCAGCAUCUGAUGAAAGAGCCCAGUGGAGAGAGGUGCAAGGGAAGAGAGAAGAGGAGAAACCUCACGGGAUGUGAUGGAAGUGAGUCAUCUGACAGAGCAUCACACCAGAAAAAUUCAAUCAGCUAUAGUGUGCAAGGGCAGACCCAGAGAGAAGCCAAAACCACAGAGGUGGGCCUGGAUUUAACAUCAGCUCCCUACAAAGCACAGAAAACUAACUGCAGAGUCAUGAAAUACCACACGGCUUGGCAGAGAAGUGGCAGUCUACCUGCACAUGCACAUACGUAUACGUGCUCAUACAUAUACACACGCGUAUGUUUGCAUAUACUUGUGUUGCCAUCCCUGGAGACUGAAGCCCUCUGUUUAUCUCCAGUUUCUCAGGUAAUUCUCAAACUCUCUUAUAAAUGUGGUUGA